rnacentral:miRNA from 1 species
UAUACUGGACUUGGAGUCAGAAGACUUGGGUUUGGGAACUGGGCUAGGCUCUUAUUGAUUGGUUGUGUUAAACCCAACACAGUCUUUCUGACCUGGA